AUAUAAUAUUCAAUCUAAAAAGCCUACCUUUCUAGAAAACUAAGUAAUUUAUACGAUGUGACAGGCUCAAGAAGUUUUGGUUGUUUACAACAAAGUAUAACAUGCCAUUUACCAGUGUUUUUUUCUCCUUUCUCUUCUUUCCAAGAUUUCAUUCUCCAUAGAUGUGCACUAGAUCAAGGUGUUAUCUAAAUCCACUACUACAUGUUCUAACACAUAUGUAAACUUUAUCAUAUUUUAGGUAUUACUAUGAUUAGGUGUCCAGGAAAAUGGUUCUUCUUCUUGUCUCUGCUAUCAGGAUGUUUAACAUGUGUCUUGGAUCUCUUCUUAUGGUGGUUGCUGGAGAAAUCUACAAUUAACGAUUGGAAGUCAAGGUUUUGACUGAAGUCUUCAAGCUAUUCUUUAAUCUCACGUGGAGUGAGAAUGGAGUCAAAGACUUCAGACAGAUCGUCGACUUGGAAAAAAAAAACACAAACAUGGAAGCUGCUGGUCCGAUGGUUGAGUUCGUGGCGGAAUGGUCGGCCUCGGCGGGAACACUUCCUCCUCCUCCUCCUCCUCCGCCGCGCCGUUGACCACUACCUCAAGUCUCACGGCUUCGACGGCCUCUUCUCUCAGAUCGAGCUAUCGUUCUCGGCUUCCAAUUUGCGAGACCGAGACGUGACUUCAAAGAGCGACGCAAUGGUGGUUGUUUAUACGAAAGGAAGAGAUGGAACAACACUCGCUGAAUCUUUCCGUAGGGAAGUUGUUUUGAACUCUUUGAAUCCUAGAUGGAUAACAAGUUCACGAUUAGUUAUCAGUUCGAGGUUGUGCAGACUUUGCUGUUUCGCCUCUAUGACAUUGAUACUCAGUUUCAAAAAUCAAAGGAGGAGGUUUAAGAGUGGACUAGUGGAAUGUUUCGAGAAUUCUGAGACUGGAUGAAUUUGUGGAUAGUUUUUAUGUUGCAAUAAACAGCGUUUUUGAUCAAGCAAUUUGACAAGGAAUCUUGAUGAACAACGAGUAACGCUAUUAAGGAUCUAUAUCUUCUGCUCCCACCUCCAGACAAAGAGCCUUUUAUACUGCAAAUGCAAAUAAGGCAUGGGUGCUUGGCAAAAGACCAGUCAAUCUUCCAAUAACUAUGCGUCGACAUAACUUACUGCUGCUGGAUCUAUAAAGGUGACAUCAACAAACCAAAUCUCUCAGAAAGACUAUAUCACUUAAAGAUGCAACUUGCUAGGGCUCAAUUUUGCUUGAGUAUUUUCGUCCACUUGAGAGAGCCAAUCAUUUUCUUAUUACUUCUUUUAAAGGUGUUCAGAUCUUUUGAGUUUUAGAAGCUGCAAAGGCAAAUCAUCAGUCCAGCAGAACCACUGAGAGUUGGGUGAUGGAAAUCUUUGUCUCUCUUCUCAUGUGUAAACUACUUACACCACCAACUCACACAAAUAAGACAACAACAAAAAUGAAACGUCACGAACACUCAACAAAUCACAAAAGCUAAGACAAUCACAACAUCUAACACAACACGUACCGAAUUAAAAGAAUUUCACAAACACUCAACAAAAUCACAAAAGCUAACACAGUAAAUACAGAAAUAAAUAUCAAACAAUAUAUCUCAAAUUAAAAACUACACUAUGCCACAGAAUAAACUAAAAAUUCGACCAAAAAAAUGCAGCACGAACAAAACAAAACAACUUAACAAUCACCACAAAACAAGAAUUAUCAUGGGCACUUUUCUUUUCUCUAUAUGAAAGACUUGUAUACUUCUUAUUUUCCAGUUGAAUGCUUCUUUUUAUCUUACUUGAUGUUUGUUGGAUUAAAAAACUUGAGUUUUAAUAUCACCUAAAUAUUGUGCCAAAAAUAUGUAAUGCACGAUUUGUAAGGAUACGUAUAGGUUGUUUCAUUUUUAUAUCAA